rnacentral:rRNA from 1 species
GCUCUCCCAUAUGGUCGACCUGCAGGCGGGCGCGAAUUCACUAGUGAUUCGUAUUACCGCGGCUGCUGGCACGAAGUUAGCCGGUGCUUCUUCUUUGGGUACGGUCAUUAUCUUCCCUACCGAAAGUGCUUUACAACCCGCAGGCCUUCUUCACACACGCGGCAUUGCUGGAUCAGGCUUUCGCCCAUUGUCCAAUAUUCCCCACUGCUGCCUCCCGUAGGAGUCUGGGCCGUGUCUCAGUCCCAGUGUGGCUGGUCAUCCUCUCAGACCAGCUACGGAUCAUCGCCUUGGUAGGCUUUUACCCUACCAACUAGCUAAUCCGACGCAGGCUCAUCUUCUGGCACAAGGCAUCACUGUCCCUUGCUUUCCCCCUUAGGGCUUAUGCGGUAUUAGCUUGAGUUUCCCCAAGUUAUCCCCCACUAGAAGGCAGAUUCCUACGCGUUACUCACCCGUCCGCCACUCGUCAGCACCUAGCAAGCUAGGCCUGUUACCGUUCGACUUGCAUGUGUUAAGCAUGCCGGUAGCGUUCAAUCUGAGCCAUGAUCAAACUAAUCGAAUUCCCGCGGCCGCC